rnacentral:rRNA from 1 species
GACGAACGCUGGCGGCGUGCUUAACACAUGCAAGUCGAACGAUGAUCUCCCAGCUUGCUGGGGGGGAUUAGUGGCGAACGGGUGAGUAACACGUGAGUAACCUGCCCUGGACUCUGGGAUAACCCCGAGAAAUCGGAGCUAAUACCGGAUAGGACCUUGCACCGCAUGGUGUGGGGUGGAAAGUUUUUUCGGUUUGGGAUGGACUCGCGGCCUAUCAGCUUGUUGGUGAGGUAAUGGCUCACCAAGGCGUCGACGGGUAGCCGGCCUGAGAGGGUGACCGGCCACACUGGGACUGAGAUACGGCCCAGACUCCUACGGGAGGCAGCAGUGGGGAAUAUUGCACAAUGGGCGCAAGCCUGAUGCAGCAACGCCGCGUGCGGGAUGACGGCCUUCGGGUUGUAAACCGCUUUUAGUAAGGAAGAAGGGGAGUUUUGCUCCUUGACGGUACUUGCAGAAAAAGGACCGGCUAACUACGUGCCAGCCGCCGCAGUAAUAC